rnacentral:rRNA from 1 species
AGCGAACGCUGGCGGCAGGCUUAACACAUGCAAGUCGAACGCCCCGCAAGGGGAGUGGCAGACGGGUGAGUAACACGUGGGAACGUACCCUUUGGUUCGGAAUAACUUGGGGAAACUCAAGCUAAUACCGGAUAAGCCCUUCUGGGGCAAGGUUUACUGCCGAAGGAUCGGCCCGCGUCUGAUUAGCUAGUUGGUGAGGUAACGGCUCACCAAGGCAACGAUCAGUAGCUGGUCUGAGAGGAUGAUCAGUCACACUGGGACUGAGACACGGCCCAGACUCCUACGGGAGGCAGCAGUGGGGAAUAUUGGACAAUGGGGGCAACCCGGAUCCAGCCAUGCCGCGUGAGUGAUGAAGGCCUUAGGGUUGUAAAGCUCUUUUACCCGGGACGAUAAUGACUGUACCGGGAGAAUAAGCCCCGGCUAACUUCGUGCCAGCAGCCGCCGUAA